CUAGUAAUCGCGGAUCAGCACGCCGCGGUGAAUACGUUCCCGGGCCUUGUACACACCGCCCGUCACACCAUGAGAGUCUGUAACACCCAAAGCCGGUGGGAUAACCUUUAUAGGAGUCAGCCGUCUAAGGUAGGACAGAUGAUUAGGGUGAAGUCGUAACAAGGUAGC
rnacentral:rRNA from 1 species